AUCAUACAUUUUGCACCAAUGUAUUGGUCGUAGAACUACAAAAUGAGUUUCAAAUUCGCGAUUUAAAGAAAGAUUUUAAGAGGUUUAUGAAUGCUGCAUGACUGUGACGUGUUUAAAUGGACUCGCGCGCUGAAUUCACGCGCUCAUUCAAACACUGCAGCGGCGGGAGUUUCCAUGGAAACGGUGCUCAACACUGUAACUGACGAACAGUAAAUCUCCGUCUCUCGCUGCUGUUUUCACUGCUUUCAGGAGUGAUAAUAUAAUCUUUCUACAAAGGAAGAGAAGCUCCAAGAUUUCAAAAUUACUGAAGGGAGCUGCUGACAGAAAUGCAGAAAACACAGAUUAUAUGCUGAUGGCCGUGCAGCAGAGGAGCGCAGAGUCUCCUGUCGGACAACAUCUCUAAAGCCUAGUUCACACUACACGACUUUACACGUCGGGAGAUCGCUGUGCUGUUCAGACUACAUGACUUGAUUGUCUGUUUUUAAGUCGUUGUGGUGUUCACACUACGUGACUCUGUGUAAAUGAUCUGCAACCAGGGGUUACACACUACACGAGCUGACAACAACUCUGUCACCCAAGGACUUGAUUCGGUCCCUAAACCACAUUUUGUCAUGAAAACACGCGAGAAUUGACCGUUAGCAAAGAGCUUGAUUGACAUGAGAUCUGACCAAUCAGAAGGCUUAUAUUAUGUGCAAGUCAUUGUUUUGCAAGUCACAAGUAAGUCUCGAGUCUUUGCAUUCAAGUCUCGAGUCAAGUCCCGAGUCAAGACAGACAAGUCCCAAGUCAAGUCUCGAGUCAAAAUAGGCAAGUCCAAGUCGAGUUGCAAGUCCUCAACUUUUAACUUCAAGUCUUAAACAAGUCAUUAGUGCUCUUUGCCCAAAUUAGUGUCUCAGUAUUAAUUCCCAUAUCAAAUUUAUAGUAAUUUAUAUCAGGAAGUCAGGUAGAAUAUGUUUUUACAUAGUUUAAUUUCAUGUGAGAUGGGUGCCCUUAGUAAAACUACUCAAGUUCAAUUUAGGGAUUGUGCCAAAAUAGUACAAGCAGUGGAAAAAAAAUAAAUAAAUAAACUAUUUUAUUAGUAACAGAAUAUCAAAGACAACAUAAUUUCAUAGAAAUUACAUGAAAUACUUCAAAAGUAAUUAAAAUUAAAAGAAAUACUUUUUUUUAGAAAUACUUUGCAUGUGUGCAUAAGAAGAAUAUAUGCUAGGUGUUUGUUAUAUCUAAGCCAAUGAGCCAUUAUUUGGAACCUCAAUGAAACAGAUUUAAAAACAUGUGAGCAGAAACUCAGAAAGAACCGCUUUGAAAGAACUAGAAGAAAUAACUGCUACCAUAAUUUAUGUGAGAGGAAACCUGCAAUAUGGAUGCAGACAAACUCAUGAAGACAGUCAUUCAAAAAUGCUGUGCUACCAUUCUUUAUAACUAAGAGUAACAAAGACAAAAUGUUGUAUGUUAAAUGUUAAGUAUAUAAUAUGCAUAGUUGAUCGCUAAAUUUAGGGGCUAUAUGUGCUAUAGGCUACAGACUGAUUUACAACACGUGAAUUCAAUUAAUUAUGCUGAAAGAAAUAAAAGUGAAAUGAGUGCCUGGUGAAGAGGGAGAAAAAUGUAGUAUAUUUUAUAGUUAUAUAUAGACUACAAUUCACAAAUCAUUUUGUGAAAGAACACUUCUUCAAAUUAUAUUUUAAAAUUAUCAUUAGGCCAAUUGCUCCUUUAUUAUUUUUCUUCAAAUUAUAGCUAAUUUUUUUGCAAUAAUUAAUUUUAAACCUAGCUUAAAUCAAGGUUUAUCUAAUAAUUAUUUUGCACCAAACUUUAAACCUUUAAAAAUAAGCAGGUUUACAUUCUAACCCAUCGUUUUGAUCCUGGAUUUAAGUAAUAUUUAAAUCUUGAUUAUGGAUUAACUUUAAACUUAACUGAGGUAUAAAUGAAAAAUAAAAUGCACAUGCCAUUAAAAUAUGCAACUGAUUGAACAAAAACAGUGGAGAUCUGACAAAAAAAAACAAAAAAAAAAAGGGUCUCAGAGAGGUGUUUACCAAUAAAAAUGAAAAUUAAAGCACAUCGAUUUGGUAGAGCUGCGAGGGGUCGUGGGAUGCGGAUCCGUCACUCAUGGUCCACCUCGGCGUCGGACAAACAAAAGAAUUGAGGAAUAUGUUUAGCAUUUCACAGCAGCGGUUACGGUGAUGAUGAGGCGAGCACCAGUGAUCCUCCCUGGUUUUUUUAUAUUUUAUCCUCUCCUCCCUGCCGCUCAAACGGGCAGGGCAGCGCUUUUCACGAGCGGAGAUAGCAACUACUUUUUUUUUCGUAUCUCGGUUCUUUUGUUGUAAGUUAUGCUAUUACUCCAUUAAUUUAUACUAGCAUAUACUGUAUAUCAAGCGCUCCCUGAACGCAGUCUCUGGCUUACUGCCAGUCAAGCGCAAGCAUGCUGCACCCGUCUAGAGUGAUAACGACGCUGAUCUGAUCAAGUCUUUCCGAGUCACAGGGCUCAAGUCCAAGUCAAGUCUCGAGUCAUUGCUGUCAAAGUCUAAGUCGAGUCUCAAGUCUUCUUUAAUUAUGUCGAGUCGAGUCACAAGUCAUCAAAUUUGGGACUCGAGUCCGAGUCAAGUCUUGAGUCAUGUGACUCGAGUCCACACCCCUGUGAGUGUGCAACUGACCAAUAACAAUUGAGUAUUCCAGCAAGUUGUUUAUUAAUAUUGUGUAUAUAUUCUUCUCAUUUUUAGGUCCUGAGACCAUAUGGGGUGAAGAUCAAGACAACCAAACCAAAGGUGGACUGUAACCUACUGGACUAUAUGAUAAACUUCAUACUGACCACUACUGCCAUGUAUACAGCAUGAAAAGUUUUUGAAAAGAGGGGCAUUUCCUUCACCAAGUAAAAGUGUGGAGGAUUCAUCUGACCUUCAUCGGCCCCCAUGAGGUGACUCGAUGUAGAAUAAAUCAGCUUGCUUUAGGCCUGAAAUGACUGAAAUCUUCUCAUGUGAGUUGAUAUCAUUUUAAACAUUCUUUAAAGUACUUCUCAUUUCUUGUGAAUGUAUUUUGUUGUAUGUGUAAAAUUUUUCCACUAAAAGAACCUUUUUUACCUUCAUUGAUAUUGUAAUCAAGGUUGUUAAUGCUAUGGACUGCACACAUCUGCCUGUGUUGGGCUUGUGUUUACAGGUUGUAUAAAACUAGGCCUGGCUGCAACAACUAAUCGAUAAUUAAAAUAAUCAUCAACGAAUUUGAAUAGUGCAUCAAAACAAACAGACCGCUCAUAAUUCUAACUAAAAUACACAUUUUACUAAAAUAUUUUUUUGUUAGAAAUUAAGUGUAGGUUUAAAACCCUACAUGUAACACAAGUAAUCAUAUUUAUGAGAGCAGUAACAGUAAAGGCACUAUUGUUGGAACUGUCCAUUAAUAUAAUAUAAUAUAAAUGCUCUGUUCAGACGAAUGAUUGUGUUUGUUCCUCGUACCUCUUACAAGUUAACAUUGUGUUUUUUUGUUUAAAUUGUUUUAGAUUCUGUUUCUAAAUAACAAGCUUUGUUGUUAUUAGGUUUAGAAUGUAAUGUUUGUAUUUUAACACUUUAAUGCUUAUAAUGUACAGCAGAGCCUACAUGGAUACAUUCUUUAUAUUUGUUUUCAUAGGCAGGAUGUGAAAUGACGUUCUUUAAAAUAAUGGAUUAAAAUUAUUUUAAUUAAAAAAUUUGGUAUAUAUUUUAUUUAUUUAUUUAUUUGUCAUCCAAUUACUAGUAUUAAUUAAAAAGAAAUCUACAAAUAAAUUGGUUAUCCAAAAAAAUUGUUAGUUGCAUGCAGCCCUACAAAAGAUAUUGUUAAAGAGGUCAGCGGUAUAAUGUUAUGAACACGAAGUCAUGUUUAUUUGUACAACAUGUAAUUAAUUUCUAUAGAGAUAAUGCAUUAUUACAGUGAAACAAUUUGCUAUUUUUAUUUUGUAAAUUAGCAGAAAACCAUCUCUACCACUGCAGUGCUUUAUCACUAUUUUUUAAAUAAAGUUAUAGUUCAUAGUUCUGAAUCAUUUUGACAUGUGACAACAAUAUUUUGUUUCAGAUUAUGUAACUGCUAUAAUAAA